UACGAGGGGGGCGAGCGUUGUUCGGAAUUAUUGGGCGUAAAGGGUGCGUAGGCGGUUUGGUAAGUCUGAUGUGAAAUCUAUGGGCUCAACUCAUAGUCUGCAUCGGAAACUGGCGGGCUUGAGUGUGGGAGAGGUGAGUGGAAUUCCUGGUGUAGCGGUGAAAUGCGUAGAUAUCAGGAGGAACACCUGUGGCGAAAGCGGCUCACUGGACCAUAACUGACGCUGAUGCACGAAAGCUAGGGGAGCAAACAGG
rnacentral:rRNA from 1 species